GGAAGGGGCGCCCGGAGCUGCGAGCUCUUUCCACAUAUGCUGGCCUCGCCUCCUCCUCCCUGUGCAGAGGGAAAAGAACUCCAAAAAGCCAUGCAAACGUAUUUAAAGCGUUAGGAAAUUCGACGAAUUUGCAAGCGGUUGUGCCGUCACUUUCUCCAGGCACUCCCGGAGAGACAGAAGCUCAUCUAUUAAACAAAUUUCAUGCACAAAGAGUCUCAGAUUCUUCUCUUGAGCACAUCUGGAAAAAGGCUCCCUAGGUGUCUCGCUCAUCCACGCAUACACAAAAGAGAGCUUGUCCCGACCGAGGGCCGGCAACACCCCCUCCUCCCUCUCUCCCUGCUCGAGCCGUACAGGAGCUCCAGCCGACUCCAUUGCACCAGCAGCGGGAAAAACCCACUGCAUUCGCACUCUCAAGAGCGGAGCCGCCCUCCGGCAGAAGGGCAUCCCCACUCAACCAAGCAAAUGGAUAAAUCGUGACCUAAAGGAGCCCCUCAGCCCAGGAGGCGUUUCCACAGGGCAGCCGCCGCUCGGCAGCGCCAAGAGGACCGCGCUCCCCCGAGCGCGGCGCUGCCGAUCAAAGCCCCUCACCGCGCCGAGAGACUCACCUCAGGGGAAGCGAGGAGGGGAACCACCGCCCCGGGGCGAGAGCCGGCGGGGCUGCUGGGCCGGGGCCUGGGGCUGCCUCGCCGUGCCCGCCGGGAGAGGCACCAGAAAUGAAAGGGGGGAGCUGCUGAGUCCCGGCGCUUCCGACCAACUCUCGGAAAAGCCUCGCCCAGGCAAAGUUGUUUGACCAUAAAAGGAGAGAGGCUGUGCGAACAGCUGAGCUCACUCGCUGGGGAAUGUAGCAAUGAGAAAUUAAAGCACGUAUCCCAUGAUUCUUCAGUGCAGAAGCGGGGUUUGCUCUUCUUGCGUUGCCUGCGGAGCACGUACUAAACUUUUAUACUGAAGACCGGCUGCUUGAACUGCCUUGUUGUAUGGUCUGUGCUGCACAUGGGCUUUGUUUUUGGCCCAGCACUGGCUGGGGCUCGGUCCUGCUCAAUACCUGGCCCAGCGCAGCAGUGUGUGUAGUUUUCAACUGUGAUCUUCUUCAGUUCUCCUUGCUUCUAAGGAAAGAGGAGCGUCCAUGAAGACAGCGUUCCUUGUGCAUUGUGCCAUCAUUAUACGUUGUCUUCAGAAUUCAGCCUUAAUAUUGGGGUUAAUGCCCCUCCAAUUAGAAUUACUGUAUUUGGUGAUGCUUGUGAGAUCUGGAGCUUGCCUGCUUCUUAGACACCUACCAACAAAGGUACCUUCCAGCAGUGGUUCUUCAGUUGCAGGUGGCUGAGCAAGCCAUGAGUCAUGCCAGUUAGGUGCCCAGUGUACAUUACUGCAGUAUACUCCCACCAGAGAGCUGCACAGAGUGGUUCAAUGAGGCUUAAGAAAUGCAGCAUGAACAAACCUUUAAUUUUAUAAGCAGGGUUGGCGCAAAGAGGUAACGCAUUUUAUGAUAGAGCUGGAAAAAGAAUGGCACUCUAAGAUUUUCCAGCUUAACACAACUGAAAAUGCCGCCUAUACCAAUGUAUCUGUCCGUAUGUCUGUCACAGCAGCUCACUGCUUCCAUAGCUGCAGCUGUUGAACUGCUGACCUACAGCUGUUAAACGCUUAAGGAUAUAUAAUUCUCAUGUAAGUGCUAAAUAUUAUUAUAAUGCCACUUUUCUAGGCAUGUCAUCAGUCCCAUUAGCUGCCGUAAUUAAUGCAUGAAAUAACUAUAUGGUUUAAAGAAGGUUUGUGCUGUGCUGGGUCUUCUAACACUGUCACUUUUCUAGUGCCGACAGUCCUUUUCCUUUUUGUUCAGGGGAAGAUGUCAGUGCAGAACUAAAAAGUAACCAAGUUCUGGUACACGGCAGAGCACCCCACACAAUCAGCCUGACCUCAGAGUACUAUACCACCAUUCCCACUGCUAGCUCUGACUCCAAAGAAAACAAAGAAUGUCUCAGACUGAGAUUUAAAAAGUGCUGAGAGAAUAUGAAAAAAUUCUACCCUCUCAUCAUUUCUGGUUACAUCCACGUAAAUCCAGAUGCUUGUACAUUUGAUUGUCUCACCAAUCUGGUGAUGUUAAAAACUGAUGAGAGCAGCUCAAGAAAAAUAAAAAUAAAUAAACAAAUAAAAAGCAGUCCAUCUUACACGUUCUAUUUUAAGUUCUCACAAUGGAGAAACAGAUAUGAAUGAGAUUACUGUUGAGCAGGUUGGAGAUGUGAAAGACAGAGUUCUCAAAUCAGAGUAUGUCAGAAUACAUAGAGAAAAACUUUAAUCUGAUUUUGUGGAUUAUAAAAAUAAAUCUCUUUGUGCUAAUUACUUUCUUUCCUGCAGUCCUUUGCUUGGAGGAGCAGACAUUUUUCUGCUGCAAACUCAAGUUAGUGCCUUGAGAUGCACACAGCAGCAGUCAAUCCCCUUACUGGAAGCAAAAUGUUAUUCCUGAAUAAGAGUUUAUCUGCCUGGGAGCAGAUACAGAUCAGCAGGUUUACUUGGCUUGUUGUGCCAGAGGACAUGAGCUUGACCUUCUUGUGUUUUCUGGAAUAAGCAGUAGUGUUCUUCUUGAAUCCCUUUGGCUGUCCCAUGCCAUGGAAAUAGUGAUCUGGUAUUUUGGAGUGUACUGUGGUGUGAAAGCUACUGUUCCACACAUGUAGGGCGGAAUGAUAGCUGACUACAAAGCAGAUGAUGGAGGGAUUUAGACUAUGCAGUUCUGGCUUUCUUCUUCUUUGAGGUCUGCUAAUGGAAGCAAGGCCCAAUGCUGGCUGUCAAACCAAAGCUUAGAAAUUCCUGAAGUUGAAUGAACCCACCUCAGAGAGACUAAGUUUUCAUGGAGACAAACAUAAAGAAUCCUUAUGAGCAAUCAAGUUGCAUAAUACAGUAAGUAAAGAUGAAUGCAAUACAGAAGUGAUGUGACAAAUUCAUGUACUGCACUGAAAUUAGGAGUAUGCUGACAGUGAUUAUGUGGCUUUAAAAUAAAAAUAAAAUUAAGAUAAGAAAGCAUAAGUUCUUGAAUGCAAAAAGGAUCCUUUCCAAGAUAACCAAUAGGGAAUUAAACCUUUGGGGCAGAAAAUCUUACCUAAAUUCAAGAGGAUUCCAGGUAGCUGCAGAUUUCAAUAUUAACAGCAAGCUAAACGUCAGAGGAAAUCAAUUUGGAUGCUGGACAGAAUGCACUAACUAUGUUAAUAAUGUAAAAUAUCUUAAUCUGUAUAAUUUUCAUCUGUAUCAACAGAUCUAGUAGUGCCGUUUUAUCUCGGCAUGAAUUAGUCAGCCAUUAUUAGUGCUACUUUUAAAAGUCCAUGUUUUUGUAACCAAUGAAAAGGCCUGACUCAUACCUGUCUUGCAUCACUGUUACUUCUUUAAUCAUGUAGCUUCUGUUUAGUCUAAUUGCUUUUUUUUUUUUUAAAUGUAUUCUAAGGUGCUGCUCAUCAGCAUAGCCUGUAUACACUUUCUUAUUUAAAUGCUGUCUGUGGGAACAGAAAAAUUGAGAAUAGAUAAUGGGUCCAAUUUUGUCUCCAGGUCAAGAGGUACAGACGACGUCAGGUCCACACUGUCUAGGGCAGGGCCACCUGCAACAUGGUGCAUGUAAUGCAUCCUGGUAAGAGCUUUUGGGGGAUCCGCUGUGCUCUCACAGCAUAGGCUCUUAGCAUGCUCCAUAUGCACUCCCUCAAGUGCAGUGCAUGGCAAUUCUCCAUGAUCUGGCUUAGAUCUGAUGAAGGCUGACAUCUGCUGUGGCAUUGGAUCAGGUAAACUACUACUACUGCCAUAUAGGUAUCACUGUCCUGCUGAAGCAGGCUGCCUCAAUCUGCAGAAAGGGAAGGGGUACUUGCCCCAGCCUCACUGUCCUGACUGAAAAGUAGUUUCAAGUUGGAGUGCCUCAUUCUCCUUCUGGGAUGCAUGUUGGCAGCUGCGUGCCAAAGAGUCAAAUAUAGAGACAUACACUUGGAGAGUGCAGAGGCUGCAGUCUUUACAAGCCUAAUCAUCCUCCUGCAUCUGUGAAACUGGCAUGCAGUCAGGAAUUUGCAAAGUUAUUUGCAAAGGUCAUGAAUUCUUUUGGAGAAAUCCCUAAACAACAAACUGCCCAGGACAGAUAGAUAGUGCCUCUCUGGUUUUUUCCCUUCAAAACUGAGUCUGCUAUGCAAAGCAGACUGUCUGUCCCCAAGAAGGGGCUCAUUCAACAGCUAUGGGGAACUUCAGUGAUCUCUGAGAAGUGUAAUUGACACUGUCCCCAUAACAUCCUCAUAGAAAACCUUCUGAUGUUUGGGAUGGAUUAGCAGACAGUGAAAUAGAUUUGAAAACUGGCCUAAUGGCUGGGCAUAGAGGGCAGUGGUCAGAGGCACAGAGUGUUGUUGGACACCAGUAAUUUUCACUGUACCACAGGGGUCAAUACAGGAUCUAGUCCUCUUGAACAUCUUCAUCGAUGAUCUGGAUGAUCAUCAUGUACCUGCAGUAAAUUCACAGGAGACAUGAAACUGAGGGGAGUGGCUGAUUUCACCUGAACAGUACACUACCACCCAGAGGGAUCUCAACUGGCUGAAGAAAUGUGUUGACAAGAAUCUAAUGGAAUUCAACAACAAGAAGUGCUGAGUCCUGCACCUGAGGAGAAACAAUACAUAGGACCAGUACUUGCUGGGGAACACCCUUUUGCAGAAAAGGACCUGGGAGUCUGGGUGGACACCAAGUGAACAUAAGCCUAUAGUGUGUCUUUCCUGCUAAAAGGGCUAAUAGUACCCUUGGCUGCAUUAAGCAAAAUGUCACCAGCAGGUCAAGGAGAUGAUCCCUCCCCUCUACUCAGUGAUGGUUAGACUGCACCUGGAGUGCUGAAUACAUUUUUGGGCUCCUCAGGACAAGGCAGAUAUGGACUGACUGGAAACAGUCCAGUAUAGGGCCACCAAGAUGAUAAAGGGCCUGGAGAACCUCUCCUGUGAGGAGAGUCUUGAGAGCUGGAGCCUGGAAAAGAGGAGGACUGGGGGAUCUUACCAAUGUAUAUAAAUACCUGGAGGGAGGGUGCCCAGAGGACACAACCAGGCUCUUUUCAGUGUUGCCCAGUGCCAAGACAUGAGCCAGUGUGCACACACGGGGACACAGGAGGUUCCCUCUGAACACCUGGAAGCACUUCUGUGCUGUGCAGAUGAUGGAGCGCUGGCACGGGUUGCCCAGAGAGGCGGUGGGGUCUCCUCCUUGGAGAUCUCCAGAAGUCACCUGAACGUGGGCCUGGGCACCCUGCUGUGGGGGUCCCUGCUGGAGCAGGGGUUGGGCCAGAUGGACACAGAGGGCACUGCCAGCCUCAGCCAUGCUGUAAUUAAUUUUACAUCUUCAAAUUAAUUUAUAAAAGUAUUGCGUUAUACACACAUAUGCACAUACUUCAAAGGGCCAUUCUAAUCACAUAUACACACAAAAAGCAUUAGAAAGAGUUUAACUUGUAAAGAACAACAACAGAAUCCUUUUGCUGUGGCAGGAAAUGCUUUAGUGAGGCAAUGCAGAUGUAUACAAGAAAGAGGGGGUGAGGCGUCUCUGUGGUAUGAGCAUGGGCAUACAAAUGUGUCACAGGCCAUCUUAGUGGCCAGGGGAGCAGAGACCUGGGGUCUAUUCUGAGGAGAAGCAACGUUUCUAGCAGGGCUGGCAGGUCUUUCCUGAACAGAAAUAUGGCAGACGUUCAGCUCCCAGAUAUUAUCAGUCUCACUUCUGUUUCCUUGUCUCUUCACGCCAAGUUUUCCUGAUGAAUAGCUGCCUCUCCCCUUCUUGACAGGGCAGCAGACCUUCAUUGCCAUGGCUCCUGGGGCUUGUUCACAGGCACAUGUCCUCUCUCUCACACUGCUCUCCUACACCUGCUCACUGCAGCAGGACCUGGAGCCUGAGGGGCAAACAGGCUGGCUCAGUGGGUAUCUCUUACCUGAAGUGGAGAAUGAGCUGUUCUGUGACUCUGGAAAACCUCAACCAGUCAGCCAAGGCCUAGAGAACAUAGCGGGAUUCAGUUGGAACACAGAUGAGUAAUUGCGACAUGCCCAUGGAUGUGGCUGGAUGUGGAUGUCUGCCAGAAUCUGUUCUGCUUGGAAAGCAGCUAUACCCUUGCAGUUUCCACAGCCUGGUGCCCUAAUCCUUGCCACCAGCAAGAAAAGUUGAGAUGUGUUCGGUUGUUUUGUGCAAAUAGUGCUUGUCAGAACUAACUGUCAAAGAAACAGAUGUGUCAGUCUGCUAAUUAAAGAGCCUACUCUUCCUGUGUGCAGUACAAGCCUCUUUCCAUCCUAAUUGUUAUGGAAGUCUCCUUUUUUCUCUUUGUUACAUUGUGUAGUCUUGUAGGCAUAGCACAAACAAGAGGCAAAACCAGAUUCUCAGCUGCCUUAGUUCAUACUAAACCUCCUACGUCAUACAGUAGGAGAAGUUCUGUGGUGGCUUUCCCACAGUAGCUGGUGC
rnacentral:lncRNA from 1 species